GGGCCCUUAGCUUAACUGGUAGAGUGUCUAAUUGUCAAUUAGAAUGGUCCCAGUUCGAAUCUGGAAGGGCUCG
rnacentral:tRNA from 1 species